CCUACGGGGUGCAGCAGGCGCGAAAACUUUACAAUGCCGGCAACGGCGAUAAGGGGACCUCGAGUGCCAGGUUACAAAUCUGGCUGUCGUGAUGCCUAAAAAGCAUUGCAUAGCAAGGGCCGGGCAAGACCGGUGCCAGCCGCCGCGGUAACACCGGCGGCUCGAGUGGUAACCGUUAUUAUUGGGUCUAAAGGGUCUGUAGCCGGCCGGAUAAGUCUCUUGAGAAAUCCAGCAGCUCAACUGUUGGGCUUUCAGGAGAUACUGUUCGGCUCGAGGCCGGGAGAGGUGAGAGGUACUUCAGGGGUAGGGGUGAAAUCUUGUAAUCCUUGAAGGACCACCAGUGGCGAAGGCGUCUCACCAGAACGGACCUGACGGCAAGGGACGAAAGCUAGGGGCACGAACCGGAUUAGAUACCCACGUAGUCC
rnacentral:rRNA from 1 species